ACUCAAAUGAAUAGACGGGGGCCCGCACAAGCGGUGGAGCAUGUGGUUUAAUUCGAUGCAACGCGAAAAACCUUACCUGGACUUGACAUCCGCAGAUAGCCGUAGAGAUACGGUGUCCCCUUCGGGGGCUGCGAGACAGGUGCUGCAUGGCUGUCGUCAGCUCGUAUCGUGAGAUGUCGGGUUAAGUCCCUUAACGAGCGCAACCCUUAUCCCUAGUUGCCAUCAUUUAGUUGGGCACUCUAUGGAGACCGCCGGUGUUAAACCGGAGGAAGGCGGGGAUGACGUCAAGUCCUCAUGGCCUUUAUGUCCAGGGCUACACACGUGCUACAAUGGCCGGUACAGAGGGUAGCCAACCAGCAAUGGGGAGCUAAUCUCAGAAAGCCGGUCUCAGUUCGGAUUGAAGUCUGCAACUCGACUUCAUGAAGCUGGAAUCGCUAGUAAUCGCGGAUCAGCACGCCGCGGUGAAUACGUUCCCGGGCCUUGUACACACCGCCCGU
rnacentral:rRNA from 1 species